GGAGAGGCGGGGCUGGGCUGCGGGGCGGAAGCUCGAAUCUGGUGGUGGCGGAAGCGCGGCCGUUGCGGGGCAAGAUGGCGGCGCCCAGGCCGUAAUAAGAGAGACAGCAAAAGAGGGAACACAAGCAGGGGGAGUGGGAGAGAGAGAAGCAGGCUUCCCACCGGGCAGGGAGCCCGAUGCAGGGCUGGAUCCCAGGACCCUGGGAUGACGACCUGAGCUGAAGGCAGAUGCUUAACGACUGAGCCACCCAGGGUUGAAUGAGAGGGAAUCCCCACACCAAAGCAGUGCUGGAAAGAAUUGUACAAGAGAGGCAGCUGGAGUAUCAAGAUGCUGUCGAGACCAAAGCCAGGGGAGUCCGAGGUGGACCUGCUGCGCUUCCAGAGUCAGUUUCUUGCAACUGGUGCAGCUCCAGCAGUACAACUGGUGAAGAAAGGAAAUAGGGGAGGUGGCAACGCUAACCUGGACCAGCCUCUGCUGCAGGAUCGUCGGGAUGUGGUGACACUGGACAAUCUCCCAGAUUCGCCCCCAGCUUUGGUUCCUGCUCCCCCAAAGAGAGCUAGACCCAGCCCCGGCUGCCCCCUGCCUGAACAUGAAGACCCUGAAGAGAGGCUGAACAGGCACGAUCAGCACAUCACUGCCGUCUUGACUAAGAUUAUUGAACGAGAUACAAGUUCAGUGGCAGUGAAUCUGCCUGUGCCCAGUGGUGUUGCUUUCCCUCCUGUGUUCCAUCGCUCACAGGAGAGACAGGGGAAGUCUGCAACGUCUGGUAAGAGAAGCAUCUUUGCCCAAGAAAUUGCAGCAAAGAGAGCAUCUGAAGCCAGAGUCCUACCAGUUAGAGAAGUUGUGUCUACCCUGGAUCCACCAGAGGGGACUGCGUCCUGUGAGGCACUCACACCUCGGGAGCAGGGCUGCCAGCUUCCGUGGGGCAGCCGCGGCUUCCAGGGACCCCAUCUGGUCACAGGGAGGGGGCUCGGGAGCCAGGAUGCUGAGCAAGAAGCCCAGACCAUCCAUGAAGAGAACAUAGCAAAACUGCAAGCCAUGGCUCCUGAGGAGAUCCUGCGGGAGCAGCAGCUGUUGCUGGCUCAGCUCGAUCCCAACAUGGUUGCCUUCUUGAGGUCUCACAACCGCACCCAUGAGCAAGCAGCAGAGAAAGCCACAGAGCAGCAGAGACCAGGAGGACACUCUGCUGAGGUCACUGGAGACAAACCCAUUGUGCCAACUUCUGCGAGGGAGCCCAGACAGGAAGAUGAUCCGGAUCCAGGAGCCCCAGCUCUGGCACUGCCUGUGACCCCCCACAAAGAAUGGGUGCACAUGGACACCGUGGAGCUGGAGAAGCUCCACUGGACCCAGGAUCUGCCUCCACUCCGGAGGCAGCGGACGCAGGAGAGGAUGCAGGCCCGAUUUAAUCUUCAGGGAGAGCUACUGGCCCCUGAUGUGGACCUGCCCACCCAUCUGGGCCUGCACCACCAUGGAGAAGAGGCAGAGAGAGCAGGGUACUCCCUGCAGGAGCUCUUCCACCUGACGCGCAGCCAGGUGUCCCAGCAGAGAGCAUUAGCACUGCAUGUGUUGGCCCAGGUCAUCGGCAGGGCCCAGGCUGGUGAGUUUGGGGACCGGCUAGUGGGCAGUGUCUUGCGCCUCCUUUUGGAUGCUGGUUUCCUCUUCCUACUGCGCUUCUCCCUGGAUGACAGAGUGGAUGGGGUCAUCGCAGCGGCCGUCCGGGCUCUUCGGGCUCUGCUGGUGGCUCCUGGAGAUGAGGAGCUCCUCGACAGCACCUUCUCCUGGUACCAUGGAGCUUUGGUGUUCCCUCUGAUGCCCAGCCAGGAAGACAAGGAGGAUGAUGAGGAUGAAGAUGAAGAACAUCCAGCAGAGAAAGCAAAAAGGAAGAGCCCUGAGGAAGGAAGCCAGCCUCCAUCUGACCUGGCUCGACAUGACGUCAUCAAGGGGCUUCUGGCUACCAACCUGCUGCCUCGGCUGCGCUACGUGCUAGAGGUGACCUGCCCAGCACCUUCUGUAGUCCUUGACAUCCUGGCUGUGCUCAUCCGUCUGGCCCGGCAUUCCCUGGAGUCAGCCACAAGGGUCCUGGAGUGCCCUCGGCUAAUAGAGACCGUGGUUCGAGAGUUCCUGCCCACGAGCUGGUCCCUCAAGGGGGUGGGGCCUGCCCCCAGUCUACACAAAAUGCCCUGUGCCACUGCCAUGAAACUACUUCGUGUCCUGGCCUCGGCUGGUAGGAAUAUUGCUGCCCGGCUGUUGAGCAGCUUUGAUCUCCGGAGCCGCCUGUGCCGCUUUAUAGCAGAGGCUCCCCAGGAAAUGGCCUUGCCCCCAGAGGAAGCCGAGACGCUGAGCACCGAGGCCUUCCGGCUGUGGGCUGUGGCUGCCUCCUAUGGCCAGGGAGGUGACUUUUACAGGGAGCUGUACCCAGUGCUGAUGCGGGCCCUGCAGGCUGUGCCAGGGGAGCUCAGCACCCAGCCCCCUCGGCCCCUGUCGGUGCAGCGGAUAGCCUCCUUCCUCACUCUCCUCGCCCAGCUGACCCUGGCCACCAGCAGCACCGCCCCUGAGCCCAGCAGUGAUGCUGCUGGGGCCGGUGUGUCGGCCACCCCUUCCUCGAUCACCUGGACACAGGUGUCCGGGCUCCAGCCUCUUGUGGAGCCCUGUCUAAGACAGACCUUGAAGUUGCUGCCCAGACCUGAGAUGUGGCGGGCCCUGAGCCCAGUGCCUACUGCCUGCCUGCUCUUCCUGGAUGCAUACUACCAGGCCUGGAGCCAGCAGCCAAGCCUGUGCCCAGGGGAUUGGCUUCAGGAUAUGGAGCGCCUGUCAGAGAGCCUGCUGCUACCCCUGCUGCGCACACCCACUCUGGGCAGCCUGUGGGAUUCUCUUGGGAGCUGCUCCCCUCUCUGCAACCCGCAGUUCUGUGUUCGGGCCCCUGAAGCUCUCCCCAGCCUCGUGUCACUGGGCAGCACAGGAGGCCACCCCUCUCUCAGUCUGGCUGGCUCAGCCUCACCGUUCCCAUUCCUCACUGCCCUUCUCUCUCUUUUCAACACCUUGGCCCGGAUCCACAAGGGGCUAUGUAACCAGCUGGCUGCCGUACUGGCUGCCCCAGGACUCCAGAACUACUUCCUCCAGUGUUUGGCUCCUGUGGCCGCCCCACCCCUCACACCCUUGUCUGCAUGGGUCUUGCGCCACGAGUACCACCUGCAAUACCUGGCACUCAUCCUGGCCCAGAGAGCGGCAACAGUCCAGCCAGAUCUGGCCAUCAACGCUGCCCUCCAUCAUAGUAUGGUCUUGGCCCUGCUGGGCCGACUGCUUCCUGGAAGUGAGCACCUUGCCCAUGAGCUACUGCUGAGCUGUGUAUUCCGUCUGGAGUUCCUCCCGGAAAGAGCAUCAGGGGGUCCGGAGGCAGCCGACUUCUCUGACCGGCUGUCCUUAGGAAGCGGCAAGGACUCAGGGUGUGGGCGAGGGGCUCUGCUGGCUCAGGCCUGCCAGGACCUCCCCAGCAUCCGCAGCUGCUACCUGACCCACUGCUCACUGGCCGGAGCCAGCCUGCUGGCCUCACAGGCCUUGUACCGAGGGGAGCUCCAGCGAGUCCCAGGCCUGCUGCUCCCCGUGCCCAAGGAGCCGCUGCUGCCCACCGACUGGCCUUUCCUGCCACUGAUCCAUCUCUACCACCAGGCCUCAGACGCUCCCUCGGGGCUCCCUCCUGCUGACACUGUGGGCACGGCUCUGCGGGCUCUGCAGUGGCUGCUAGUCCUGGAGAGCUGGCGCCCCCAGGCCCUCUGGGCCAUGCCUCCUGCCGCCCGCCUGGCGCGACUCAUGUGUGUGUUCCUGGUGGACAGUGAACUGUUCCGGGAGACCCCAGUACAACAUCUGGUGGCCGCCCUCCUGGCCCGCCUCUGCCAGCCUAAGGUCCUGCCAGACCUCAAGCUGGAUUGCCCACUUCCUGGCCUGGCGUCUUUCCCUGACCUCUAUGCCAGCUUCCUGGAGCAUUUUGAGGCUGUCUCUUAUGGGAACCACCUCUUUGGAGCCCUGGUUCUCCUUCCCCUGCAGCGCCGUUUCAGCGUCACUCUGCGCCUCGCCCUCUUCGGGGAGCAUGUGGGAGCCUUGCGAGCUCUGGGCCUGCCUCUGACCCAGUUGCCUGUGUCCUUGGAGUGCUAUACAGAGCCUCCUGAAGAUAACCUGGCCCUCCUUCAGCUCUACUUCCGGGCCCUGGUUACGGGUGCUCUCUGUCCACGUUGGUGCCCUGUGCUCUAUGCUGUGGCCGUGGCCCAUGUCAACAGCUUCAUCUUCUCCCAGGACCCCAAGAGCUCAGAUGAGGUAAAGGCUGCCCGCAGGAGCAUGCUGCAGAAAACUUGGCUGCUGGCAGAUGAGGGUCUCCGGCAGCACCUUCUCCACUAUAAGCUCCCUAAUUCUGCCCUCCCAGAAGGCUUUGAGCUAUAUCCCCAGUUGCCCCCUCUGCGUCAGCAGUACCUCCAGAGCGUGACCUCAGGGAUGCUCCAGAAUGGGGUGUCAGAGGCCUAGUAGAGUUGCUACAGAUGAAGACAUGGAUCCAUUCUGCUGGGGUUCACCAGCACGUGCCUGGCCAGACAAAAGGAUUUUGUGUACUAAGGGUGCACAGGAGACAGGAGCAGAAGGCUUGCCUUCCUGGGAACAGGCCGUUUGAGCUUUUCUGGAGCAGGGAAUCUGAUUUGGACUGAUUUCAGACAUGGUACUUCAGGAUUGGUAAUGGAGGGAUGGAUUAUCCCAGGGGAGAAGCAGGACUUCUGUGAGAGAUGGGGGAAGUAAAAACUAAGUCCACGGGCGCCUGGGUGGCUCAGAUGGUUAAGCGUCUGCCUUCGGCUCAGGUCAUGAUCCCGGGGUCCUGGGAUCGAGCCCCGCAUUGGGCUCCCUGCUAGGCGGGGAGCCUGCUUCUCCCUCUGCCUCUGCCUCUCUCUCUCUCUCUCUGACUCUCAUGAAUAAAUAAAUAAAACAUUAAAAAAAACAAAACAAAAAACUAAGUCCACACCUGGGACAACGAAAAUGUGGGUCCCAGUUCUGGAGUAGAGCCAGGCCAGGGUAAUGCUCUUGGGAAGGGGUCCUUCUUAAAGGACUCUCAGCAGUCCACUUGGAGUUUAAGUAUCCUUAGUGAGGUCAGCGUCUUGUCUCCUUACGGUCCAUCAACUGCUAUCCUGAGAUAUGAAGAAACCAAAAGCCAAACUGUGCAGUAGCUGUCUGUCUUAAUCUUUUUUUUUAACUUUUUUUUUUUUUUAAGAUUUUAUUUAUUUACUUGACAGAGAGAUAGUGAGAGAGGG